rfam:Arabis alpina cultivar Pajares Aa.chr2_contig_2422, whole genome shotgun sequence.
ACUCCAUGAUGAGGACAAGACCUAGUACAACCCUUCAAUCUUUCUCAAGCUUCAUAUAGAGCUUCAUUUGGACCUUGCUUGAAGCUUGUAAUAUCAUUUCUAAUCCG